GAUGAACGCUGGCGGCGUGCCUAAUACAUGCAAGUCGAGCGAACAGACGAGGAGCUUGCUCCCCUGACGUUAGCGACGGACGGGUGAGUAACACGUGGAUAACCUACCUAUAAGACUGGGAUAACUUCGGGAAACCGGAGCUAAUACCGGAUAAUAUAUUGAACCGCAUGGUUCAAUAGUGAAAGACGGUUUUGCUGUCACUUAUAGAUGGAUCCGCGCCGCAUUAGCUAGUUGGUAAGGUAACGGCUUACCAAGGCAACGAUGCGUAGCCGACCUGAGAGGGUGAUCAGCCACACUGGAACUGAGACACGGUCCAGACUCCUACGGGAGGCAGCAGUAGGGAAUCUUCCGCAAUGGGCGAAAGCUUGACGGAGCAACGCCGCGUGAGUGAUGAAGGUCUUCGGAUCGUAAAACUCUGUUAUUAGGGAAGAACAAAUGUGUAAGUAACUAUGCACGUCUUGACGGUACCUAAUCAGAAAGCCACGGCUAACUACGUG
rnacentral:rRNA from 1 species